GAUGAACGCUGGCGGCGUGCUUAACACAUGCAAGUCGAACGAGAAGUGGAGACGGAAACCUUCGGGCGGAAGACUUUAUUUCGAGUGGCGGACGGGUGAGUAACGCGUGGGUAACCUGCCUCAUACAGGGGGAUAACAGUUGGAAACGACUGUUAAUACCGCAUAAGACCACAGCACCGCAUGGUGCGGGGGUAAAGACUCCGGUGGUAUGAGAUGGACCCGCGUUCGAUUAGCCAGUUGGCGGGGUAACGGCCCACCAAAGCGACGAUCGAUAGCCGAUCUGAGAGGAUGACCGGCCACAUUGGGACUGAGACACGGCCCAAACUCCUACGGGAGGCAGCAGUGGGGAAUAUUGCACAAUGGGGGAAACCCUGAUGCAGCGACGCCGCGUGAGUGAAGAAGUAUUUCGGUAUGUAAAGCUCUAUCAGCAGGGAAGAAAAU
rnacentral:rRNA from 1 species